rnacentral:tRNA from 1 species
GUUACUUUAUCAUUAAAGUGUAUCAAAUUUAGAUUUUGAAAAUGUAAUAAUUAUUACAAGUAAUA